UCAGACGAUGCGUCAUGCAUAUCAAUAAGCGGAGGAAAAGAAACUAACAAGGAUUCCCUAGUAACGGCGAGUGAAGCGGGAAGAGCUCAAAUUUGAAAUCUUCAAGGUUUUACCUUGACGAAUUGUAGUUUAAAGAAGUGUUUUCUGUAGUGGAGUUUGGUAAAAGUUCUUUGGAAUAGGACAUCAUAGAGGGUGAGAAUCCCGUAUUUGACCAUUAUCUCCAGCUGUGUGAUACACUUUCAAAGAGUCGGAUUGUUUGGGAAUGCAGUCCAAAAUGGGUGGUAAAUUUCAUCUAAAGCUAAAUAUUGGCGAGAGACCGAUAGCGAACAAGUACCGUGAGGGAAAGAUGAAAAGAACUUUGAAAAGAGAGUUAAACAGUACGUGAAAUUGUCAAAAGGGAAGCGUUUGACACCAGUGUUGUUUUCUCGAGAAUCAAUUAAAAAGAGUUGGAUUUUGUGUUGUAUUGACCUUAACAGCUUGCUUCACUCUUUUCCUGCUUUUUUAAUGCACUUUUCGUUUAACAAGUCAACAUCAGUUUCUUUUGUUGUAAAAGGGUCAUUGGAAGGUGGCUUUCUCUUCGGAAGAAAGUGUUUAUAGCCUUUGAUCUCUGCAAUCGGAGAGACUGAGGUCUGCAGCGUAGAUCCUUCGGGGUUAGAUACAUUUGUGCUAAGCUACAGCUUUUCAUAGACAACUUGUUGACUAUGUUUAGUCUCGUAACUUACCCGCUUAUGCUAUUUUACCUACGCUUAGGAUGUUGAUAUGCAUGACUGAUAU
rnacentral:rRNA from 1 species